GAUGAACGCUGGCGGCGUGCCUAAUACAUGCAAGUCGAGCGAACGGACGAGAAGCUUGCUUCACUGAUGUUAGCGGCGGACGGGUGAGUAACACGUGGAUAACCUACCUAUAAGACUGGGAUAACUUCGGGAAACCGGAGCUAAUACCGGAUAAUAUUUUGAACCGCAUGGUUCAAAAGUGAAAGACGGUCUUGCUGUCACUUAUAGAUGGAUCCGCGCUGCAUUAGCUAGUUGGUAAGGUAACGGCUUACCAAGGCAACGAUGCAUAGCCGACCUGAGAGGGUGAUCGGCCACACUGGAACUGAGACACGGUCCAGACUCCUACGGGAGGCAGCAGUAGGGAAUCUUCCGCAAUGGGCGAAAGCCUGACGGAGCAACGCCGCGUGAGUGAUGAAGGUCUUCGGAUCGUAAAACUCUGUUAUUAGGGAAGAACAUAUGUGUAAGUAACUGUGCACAUCUUAACGGUACCUAAUCAGAAAGCCACGGCUAACUACGUG
rnacentral:rRNA from 1 species